rnacentral:rRNA from 1 species
UGUAGUUUGAAGUGUAGUCCGUGAUGCGUAGUAUAUAUUCUUGAG